UUAUUUCUCGCAUUAGAGCCGUGGAGGAUCCAUCUACGCUUUGCCAUUAAGGGCAGACAGCUGGACUGUGACUCCUGCGUCACCGUGCGCCGAAUCCAGGUAGCAACGGCAGAGUUUAAGUGGCGUUUCCACGGAGACCACUCUCUGAGUCUUCAGAGAUGAAAAUGAAAGAUUCCAUGCGCUCAUGCUGAAAGUGCUGCUGUCAAAGCUACGAGGUGGAUAAGGAGGAAGAAGAAAUGGAGCACUAGUGAUUUGCAGUUUGGAGCUGGAUGAAGCUGGAAUCUCAGUUUUCCAUGUAUUCAUGGUUGGAGAAUGGUUUCCAUGUAUGGCCGGGAGCAGCGUGCAUGAAGCUAGAGUGAAAAUGGAGCUUUACUGAAUAAUUAACAGCCUUUCAUAUGCUGUUAUGCACAGUUUGAACUGAACUCGUACAUGUGGACAGGAAUUAAGUCAUAUUUGAUUUAGCAAGAAUUAAAGGCUGAUUCAUUUUUAUUUCAGAUUUACACACACAAAACUUUCUGCGAUUGUCCACAUCUAAAACUUCUUAUCAACUCUGGAGAAAGAAAAAUUGUACAAACAGGCCUCACACAGGCCAUUCCUUUCCCUGUGCAUGCUGGGAAAUGCAGUAAACUAGCAAUCGCAUUGUUGCCAGGGAACGCACAAGGGAACAUAUUCACUCGCAUGCAUUUAAACACAUUAGAGGCAUUUUCCUUGAACUUGCCCACCGAUACACGUGAUGCACACAAAGGAGUAAAUCAUCACAUCACCCAGGCCACAGAGGGAGGGUAACGCUCACAGACAUGCAAACACUUUCCGCAAGUAACUCCACAUUAUUACCACAUACUGACAUUAGGCGUUUUACCAAGACUCUUGCACAUGCCCCAUGAUGCACAGUGGGGGUAUAUGGUAUGCGUGCAUGACUAUACAAUUAGCAUCAUAGUAUGGCACUUAUACACACACAGCAGCCUCUUCUGGUAUGCACAAGGGCACUCUUAUUUACAUGCGUCAAACACACUAUGCCCCACUGUUCACACACAACACACACACACACUAUUCUGCCCAGAUACUGUAUAAUGAUGAUGCUACUUUGGUCCCCAAACAAGAUUAUUCAAGCGUCUUUCUUUUUCAUGCAUCCAUCAUUCUCCGUCUUUUUGUCAGACGGCCCCUUGUGCUCAUCUUUUGUCAGUUACCGUAUUUACAUUUUGUUGAGGUUUUCCUGGAUAUUUCUUGCAUGUGCAAAUAAUGUUGACAAGCUGUAUGUAAAUCGUUGAAAUUUUACAUGCACAUGUGAAAAAUUUAAUAUCAAAACAUGUUAUUUGUGAAUCUGAAUUGGAAAUGUGAACUAAAAAGUAGCUUUGAAA